rnacentral:rRNA from 1 species
UGCCAGUGAUAAACUGGAGGAAGGUGGGGAUGACGUCAAGUCAUCAUGGCCCUUACGAGUAGGGCUACACACGUGCUACAAUGGCAUAUACAAAGAGAAGCGACCUCGCGAGAGCAAGCGGACCUCAUAAAGUAUGUCGUAGUCCGGAUUGGAGUCUGCAACUCGACUCCAUGAAGUCGGAAUCGCUAGUAAUCGUAGAUCAGAAUGCUACGGUGAAUACGUUCCCGGGCCUUGUACACACCGCCCGUCACACCAUGGGAGUGGGUUGCAAAAGAAGUAGGUAGCUUAACCUUCGGGAGGGCGCUUACCACUUUGUGAUUCAUGACUGGGGUGAAGUCGUAACAAGGUAACCGUAGGGGAACCUGCGGUUGGAUCACCUCCUUA